rnacentral:rRNA from 1 species
GUGCCAGCCGGCGCGGUAAUACCGGCAGCUCAAGUGAUGUCCCAUAUUAUUGGGCCUAAAGCGUCCGUAGCUGGCCGACCAAGUCUCCCGGGAAAUCCACCCGCCCAACGGGUGGGCGUCCGGUAGAAACUGUGCGGCUUGGGACCGGAAGGCGCGACGGGUACGUCCGGGGUAGGAGUGAAAUCCCGUAAUCCUGGACGGACCGCCGAUGGCGAAAGCACGUCGCGAGAACGGAUCCGACAGUGAGGGACGAAAGCCAGGGUCUCGAACCGGAUUAGAAACCCCAGUAGUCC